AGAGAGGAUUCCUACAUGGAGUGGGAGACUGAAAUAAUAACCUCAAAGAUGCCUUCCAAUCAGAAGAUUUGGUGAUUCUUUCUGAGUUAUCAAACUGCCUUCCUUUGACCUUGCUCACAUGUAGAAAUCCAAGUCAGCGCAGCUUAACUUGGACUCACCACCUAUCAAGUGCUCGACAGCCACGUGUGCAGUGGUUCCUACGUGGAGCAGCAUACAUCCAGAGAUGCAAAUAUUAAUGAGGACAGUGCUAGUAACAGAGUUGCUGAGCAAUCUAUGUCCCCUUGUAAGAACCAGUGCCCCAGGGGAAGAAACAGAACUCCACAAGGUAGCAGUGUGGGUGUAGUACCCGCAUGUGCCCAUGUUAUGGGAAUGUAGAUGGGGAGUGACCACCGCCAACAGAAGUGUGGCCAUCUUGCCCGAGAUGCCUGAGGACCUCCUAUUUUUAGAUGCUGCUGCCCAAGGCCUGUAUUUCAUGCUAUGGCUUUUGUCAUUUGAAUUAUCAGUAGCUGUCUCGGAGCUAUUACGCUUCACUGGGCCCUGGAGGAUAUUGUCUUAUACAG
rnacentral:lncRNA from 1 species